rnacentral:rRNA from 1 species
AUAUUGGGCGUAAGGGCUCGCAGGCGGUUUCUUAAGUCUGAUGUGAAAGCCCCCGGCUCAACCGGGGAGGGUCAUUGGAAACUGGGAAACUUGAGUGCAGAAGAGGAGAGUGGAAUUCCACGUGUAGCGGUGAAAUGCGUAGAGAUGUGGAGGAACACCAGUGGCGAAGGCGACUCUCUGGUCUGUAACUGACGCUGAGGAGCGAAAGCGUGGGGAGCGAACAGGAUUAGAUACCCUGGUAGUCCACGCCGUAAACGAUGAGUGCUAAGUGUUAGGGGGUUUCCGCCCCUUAGUGCUGCAGCUAACGCAUUAAGCACUCCGCCUGGGGAGUACGGUCGCAAGACUGAAACUCAAAGGAAUUGACGGGGGCCCGCACAAGCGGUGGAGCAUGUGGUUUAAUUCGAAGCAACGCGAAGAACCUUACCAGGUCUUGACAUCCUCUGACAACCCUAGAGAUAGGGCUUUCCCUUCGGGGACAGAGUGACAGGUGGUGCAUGGUUGUCGUCAGCUCGUGUCGUGAGAUGUUGGGUAAAGUCCCGCAACGAG